GAUUGAUACUCUCAAGAUCCAUGGAGGCGGAGAGAGGAUCAUGAAUGCAGGGCAAUUUCCGGUUUGUACGCCUGUUUAGUCCCGGAUCGAGUAGUAGAAGAAGAAUAAGUAUCACAACAACAACCACAACAACCACAACAACAAGGUGGAUCAUUAUUGAGUUUAACGAAAAAAUUGACAGAGUAAUAUCCGUGGAAAAGUAACAGAAACCGACACAUCUAUUGAAAGUCUUCUUCUUCUUCUUUCGAGUUUAUUUGGCGGAUGGCAAACCAAUAUUGUGCAUUACCGCCACCUACUGUUGGUUUUAGAGCUUCGAUGGACGUUAUAAACUAUGCAAAAGAACAAAAGUAAAUAAACAAAAUCAUGUAAAUAGAAAACAACUGAUUAAAUUAUAAUCUGUGAAAUAAACCUGUUGCUUUUAGAUAAGUCAUUACAUGUUUCCAUGCUGGUGGUCUCAGUGUGGAAAAGGAGAGUAAACCCUCUAAGGUCAAGCUUGUUUGACCCAAAGCUUUAACAUUUUUCAACAGCUCCCUUCUCUCCAAAUUGUACGCUUCACAUUGUAGUAAAACAUGCUCCACUGUUUCUCUUCCAUUACAUUUUGGGCAGACCCCUGUUUCAUGUUUGCCUAUGAUGUUCAUACUGUGGUUAAGACAUGUGUGCCCUAUGCGUAGUCUUGUGAUGAUAACCUCACAUCUUCUGUUCCAGUCUAUUGAAAGUCCCGCUUACUCUCGCCAUAUAUCCCAUGCAUGCCACUCAAAGUCCCGCCCCCUCUCUCCCUCAAGCCAAUAACGCUUCUUUCUUUUUUUACCCAUGAUGUUCCAGGCUGGGUGCGAGGAGACUACAUGUCCAACAGCGGGGCGUUAAAAAUGCACAAACCACAAACUGUUGUGUAAUGAGGUGGAGUCAGUCAUAACAAAUAAAACCUGCCGCCAGUCACACCGUAGAAUCCUUUUACAACACGAGAGAUUCCUACGCGACUCGCAACUCACAUCAGCGGAAGCACAAUGAACAUAUGGAGUGCACUGGGCCUGUUGUGCCUUAUAUUUCUUGCAAAUGGAAUGACCACAGCGGACGACUCUCAGGGGGUGAGACAUUCAGGACAUAACGAGGCCUUAUGUUUGAGUGAAGGACCAAAGACGGACGUUUUAAUCAAAAGCAGAGGGGCAUGUUAAGGGUGAAAAUGAAUAUCCCAUGAUGUAGGCCUACUGCUACUCCUACUGGGUCUAUGUCAUGAUGUUUAAAUUAAACAUUCAUUUAAACUUUGA